ensembl:lncRNA
CCAAGACCAAAUUAGGACUAAAGGGGUCUAAACCAGAACUUAACCAGGUCUGAACCAAGUCUUGUCUCUUAUCUUUUAGGCACGUCCGUGGGCCAUGCGCACACACUUGGACAAACGGAGCUCUCUGAUUGGCCCAUUGUCCAAACGCAGCCCUGUGAUUGGUCCGUUCAAACGCAGCAGCUCUCUGAUUGGCUCACAGGCAGAGCACUCGGGGAUGAGGACGUACUACUUCAGCGCAGAGACCCAGGAGGACAUGAAUGCUUGGCUCAGGGCCAUGAACCGGGCCACACGAGUCCAGACUAAGACCAAGACCCAGGACCGAGACCAGAACCGAGACCAAACCCAAGUCCAGACCGGAGACCAGACCCAGAUCCAGACAGGAGACCAGACUGGAAUCCAGACCGGAGAACUAACCAAGGUCCGAAAUGGGGUCCGAAAAGCCCAGAAUGGGGUCCACUGUGGCACCAACACCUCAACGGACAAAUCCUUAGACCUUUUGGACUCGACUCAGUCCUCAGAAAAGACCCUGGUCCAUGAAGUCCAAAGUCCAGAUCAGGAUCCCAACCAGGACUCUCCUCUGAAGACUGGACCUAUCUCCAAGGCAGCCACACGACUAACCACGCCCCCUGAAGAGUCAGCUCCUGCUCCCUCUCAGAACAGGUUCCCCGUUUCAACCCCAA